rnacentral:rRNA from 1 species
UACGUAGGGUGCAAGCGUUAAUCGGAAUUACUAGGCGUAAAGCGUGCGCAGGCGGUUAUGCAAGACAGAGGUGAAAUCCCCGGGCUCAACCUGGGAACUGCCUUUGUGACUGCAUGGCUAGAGUGCGGCAGAGGGGGAUGGAAUUCCGCGUGUAGCAGUGAAAUGCGUAGAUAUGCGGAGGAACACCGAUGGCGAAGGCAAUCCCCUGGGCCUGCACUGACGCUCAUGCACGAAAGCGUGGGGAGCAAACAGG